UACGAAGGGGACUAGCGUUGUUCGGAUUUACUGGGCGUAAAGCGCGCGUAGGCGGAUCGCUAAGUCAGGGGUGAAAUCCCAAGGCUCAACCUUGGAACUGCCUUUGAUACUGACGAUCUGGAGAUCGGGAGAGGUGAGUGGAAUUCCGAGUGUAGAGGUGAAAUUCGUAGAUAUUCGGAGGAACACCAGAAGCGAAGGCGGCUCACUGGCCCGAUACUGACGCUGAGGCGCGAAAGCGUGGGGAGCGAACAGG
rnacentral:rRNA from 1 species